rnacentral:rRNA from 1 species
AUUGAACGCUGGCGGCAGGCCUAACACAUGCAAGUCGAGCGGCAGCGGGAAAGUAGCUUGCUACUUUUGCCGGCGAGCGGCGGACGGGUGAGUAAUGCCUGGGAAAUUGCCCAGUCGAGGGGGAUAACAGUUGGAAACGACUGCUAAUACCGCAUACGCCCUACGGGGGAAAGCAGGGGACCUUCGGGCCUUGCGCGAUUGGAUAUGCCCAGGUGGGAUUAGCUAGUUGGUGAGGUAAUGGCUCACCAAGGCGACGAUCCCUAGCUGGUCUGGGAGGAUGAUCAGCCACACUGGAACUGAGACACGGUCCAGACUCCUACGGGAGGCAGCAGUGGGGAAUAUUGCACAAUGGGGGAAACCCUGAUGCAGCCAUGCCGCGUGUGUGAAGAAGGCCUUCGGGUUGUAAAGCACUUUCAGCGAGGAGGAAAGGUUGAUGCCUAAUACGUAUCAACUGUGACGUUACUCGCAGAAGAAGCACUGGCUAACUCCGUGCCAGCCGCCGCGGUAAAAC